AAGUGCUCAAGGAAACCUUCGUACAUGGGAGGCUAUGUGUCUAGGUUAUGAUAGAUAUCAUAUGUCCACAGAAUUAUCCUUGGUUGACCAAUAGACCCCAAAGAAAAAUGAGAAGAUUACUAUCAUCUUCUUUCCAAUGGUGAGUCUUCUCUUGACAUAUAACUAUAUCCACUGUCUCCAAGUGAAAAUUAUAUUUCAAAUAAACUCCAAGAUCAUAUAGGUAGUGCUCGUAGAUAUACUCAGUAAGUGGAUGUGCACAACCAUGUCUUAUGAUAACACAAGGUUGUAUGUCAUUAGACAUCUUGUAUGAUAGUGGCAAAACAUCCUUCCAAAGUUGGGUUCACCUCACCCUAUUCGGUUCACCAAAAUUAAAUAUCAAAUGACGUAUACAAUAU
rnacentral:lncRNA from 1 species